rnacentral:rRNA from 1 species
GGGCCCCGAAGGCGGUGCCUAAUACAUGCAAGUCGUACGCUUCUUUUUCCACCGGGAGCUUGCUCCACCGGAAAAAGAAGAGUGGAAAACGGGUGAGUAACACGUGGGUAACCUGCCCAUCAGAAGGGGAUAACACUUGGAAACAGGUGCUAAUACCGUAUAACAAUCGAAACCGCAUGGUUUUGAUUUGAAAGGCGCUUUCGGGUGUCGCUGAUGGAUGGACCCGCGGUGCAUUAGCUAGUUGGUGAGGUAACGGCUCACCAAGGCCACGAUGCAUAGCCGACCUGAGAGGGUGAUCGGCCACAUUGGGACUGAGACACGGCCCAAACUCCUACGGGAGGCAGCAGUAGGGAAUCUUCGGCAAUGGACGAAAGUCUGACCGAGCAACGCCGCGUGAGUGAAGAAGGUUUUCGGAUCGUAAAACUCUGUUGUUAGAGAAGAACAAGGAUGAGAGUAACUGUUCAUCCCUUGACGGUAUCUAACCAGAAAGCCACGGCUAACUACGUGCCAGCAGCCGCGGUAAUACGUAGGUGGCAAGCGUUGUCCGGAUUUAUUGGGCGUAAAGCGAGCGCAGGCGGUUUCUUAAGUCUGAUGUGAAAGCCCCCGGCUCAACCGGGGAGGGUCAUUGGAAACUGGGAGACUUGAGUGCAGAAGAGGAGAGUGGAAUUCCAUGUGUAGCGGUGAAAUGCGUAGAUAUAUGGAGGAACACCAGUGGCGAAGGCGGCUCUCUGGUCUGUAACUGACGCUGAGGCUCGAAAGCGUGGGGAGCAAACAGGAUUAGAUACCCUGGUAGUCCACGCCGUAAACGAUGAGUGCUAAGUGUUGGGAGGGUUUCCGCCCUUCAGUGCUGCAGCUAACGCAUUAAGCACUCCGCCUGGGGGAGUACGACCGCAAAGUUGAAACUCAAAGGGAAUUGACGGGGGGCCCGCACAAGCGGUGGGAGCAUGGUGGGUUUAAUUCGAAAGCAACGCGAAGAACCUUACCAGGUCUUGACAUCCUUUGACCACUUUAGAGAUAGAGCUUUCCCUUUGGGGGCAAAGUGACAGGUGGUGCAUGGUUGUUGUCAACUCGUGUCGUGAGAAGUUGGGUUAAGUCCCGCAACGAGGGCAACCCUUAUUGUUAGUUGCCCUCAUUUAGUUGGGCCCUUUAGCAAGACUGCCGGUGACAAACCGGAGGAAGGUGGGGAAGACGUCAAAUCAUCAUGCCCCUUAUGACCUGGGGUACCCCCGUGCUACAAUGGGAAGUACAACGAGUUGGGAAGUCGCGAGGGUAAGCUAAUUUUUUAAAGCUUUUUUCAGUUUGGAUUGCAGGGUGCAAAUUGCCUGCAAGAAACCGGAAUCGCUAGUAAUCGGGGAUCAGCACGCCGCGGUGAAUACGUUCCCGGGCCUUGGACACCCCCCCCCUCCCCCCCCGAGAGUUUGUAACACCCGAAAUCCGUGAAGUAACCUUUUUGGAGCCAGCCGCCUAAGGUGGGAUAGAUGAUUGGGGUGAAGUCGAAACAAGGUAGCCAUUGCG